UACAAGUUCCUAGUGGUCUCAAACAAUCAUAUACCCCAACUACAACACUUCAAACACACACAAUCAACACACAUUGCUCAAAACAUCAAUAUUAACCCAUAACUCAACAUAUAUCCUAACAUGCAUUUCUACCCAAAGAACUCAUAAAAUCUUACUUAAAACACAUAAGGAGCUUAAGAUCGGCUCUUACCUCUUGAAGAUCGAGAGGGAGACGACCUAAACUUGGAGAUCUACGAAAAUGAGCUCCUGAGUUCCCAAAGCUCCAAAACUUGUUUCAAAAGUUCAAAACCUUCAAUGCAAGCUUAAAACUCAAGAAAAAUGGUGAGGAUUUGAAGGAAGAACACUAGAUUUGGAAGAGGGAGGUCGGAAGCUAGCUGUGGCUGAAAAUGGGAGAAAGCUC
rnacentral:lncRNA from 1 species